UACGUAGGGGGCAAGCGUUGUCCGGAAUCAUUGGGCGUAAAGAGCGUGUAGGCGGCCCGGUAAGUCCGCCGUGAAAGUCCAGGGCUCAACCCUGGGAUGCCGGUGGAAACUGUCGGGCUCGAGUCCGGAAGAGGCGAGUGGAAUUCCUGGUGUAGCGGUGAAAUGCGCAGAUAUCAGGAGGAACACCAAUAGCGAAGGCAGCUCGCUGGGACAGUACUGACGCUGAGACGCGAAAGCGUGGGGAGCGAACAGG
rnacentral:rRNA from 1 species